rnacentral:lncRNA from 10 species
GGAGCUUUGAGCCCAGCCCAGCAAGGGGGCAGCAUCUUCUACUAUGUGCAUCUACAUUGGAUGGCAGUGGAGCAACACAGAUUGUUUUCUGACAAAAAUCAGCCAAGUACUAGGAGAGGCAGGACUUUAGAAGUGGAGGAGAUGGAGAAGGAAGCUUAGGUUACUAUGGAGUGUGCAAAAAGGUCCUGUGGAUUUAGAUACCACCACACACAAAUGCUGUUGUUGGAAGGUACCUGCCCAGAUAAGGACUGCAUUUCCUCUAGCAUCCAGAUGGGACCAAAUGACUGCUGGCCAAUAGAAGUGAGUGGAAAGGACUGACUCCAGUUCCAGGUUGGGCCUCCAACUGCUCUGGGCACGUCGAUGGAACAGAACACCACCUCCACCCCAAUACCACCAAUUCAACUUUACAUGAAUUAUAAGCGAGAAAUAACUUGGACUGUGUUAAGUCAUUGAGUUUCUGGGGUUUAACUGUUAUUAUAGUUAAGAAUGACUUUAACUAAUAUAGUCAAUGACAUCUAACUGGAGUUAUGAAAUUCAAUUUCUACUUAGAGUAAUUGAAGCAAAGGUUGUGGGGGAGGGGAGGAGGGCAGCACACCAUGAAAUCAGAGAUCCCCAGUACGUGUUAGUUCAUCAGUCAAUCAGUCUUAAGGUCAGGGUGUAGUGUGGGCAGCAGUUGCCUCCCUCUCCCCACAGAACACCCUGAGAAUAGGAAGUUAGAGUAGUCGCAUCUUAUUACUUACAAAACAUUACCUCAAAAUGCAAACUACCCCCUGGACCCAAACUCUCUACAAUCACCAGGUUCCAUAAACUAUAAUCUACUCUGUUUUCUGGAAGAAAAUAUUAACCUGUUAAAAUUCCCUGC